rnacentral:rRNA from 1 species
AGCGACUGUGCAGGUUACCGCGGCUGCUGGCACGGAGUUAGCCGGUGCUUCUUCUGCGAGUAACGUCACAGAUGUAAGGUAUUAACUUACACCCUUUCCUCCUCGCUGAAAGUGCUUUACAACCCGAAGGCCUUCUUCACACACGCGGCAUGGCUGCAUCAGGGUUUUCCCCCAUUGUGCAAUAUUCCCCACUGCUGCCUCCCGUAGGAGUCUGGGCCGUGUCUCAGUCCCAGUGUGGCUGAUCAUCCUCUCAGACCAGCUAGGGAUCGUCGCCUAGGUGAGCCUUUACCUCACCUACUAGCUAAUCCCACCUGGGCUUAUCCAUCAGCGCAAGGCCCGAAGGUCCCCUGCUUUCCCCCGUAGGGCGUAUGCGGUAUUAGCAGUCGUUUCCAACUGUUAUCCCCCACAAAUGGGCAAAUUCCCAGGCAUUACUCACCCGUCCGCCGCUCGUCAUCUUCAAAAGCAAGCUUUUGAAAUGUUACCGCUCGACUUGCAUGUGUUAGGCCUGCCGCCAGCGUUCAAU